GACGAACGCUGGCGGCGUGCUUAACACCUGCAAGUCGAACGGAAAGGCCCUGCUUUUGUGGGGUGCUCGAGUGGCGAACGGGUGAGUAACACGUGAGUAACCUGCCCUUGACUUUGGGAUAACUUCAGGAAACUGGGGCUAAUACCGGAUAGGAGCUCCUGCUGCAUGGUGGGGGUUGGAAAGUUUCGGCGGUUGGGGAUGGACUCGCGGCUUAUCAGCUUGUUGGUGGGGUAGUGGCUUACCAAGGCUUUGACGGGUAGCCGGCCUGAGAGGGUGACCGGCCACAUUGGGACUGAGAUACGGCCCAGACUCCUACGGGAGGCAGCAGUGGGGAAUAUUGCACAAUGGGCGGAAGCCUGAUGCAGCAACGCCGCGUGCGGGAUGACGGCCUUCGGGUUGUAAACCGCUUUCGCCUGUGACGAAGCGUGAGUGACGGUAAUGGGUAAAGAAGCACCGGCUAACUACGU
rnacentral:rRNA from 1 species